AUUCGUCACCUACUUCUUACAGCAUUAAACACACUGAGAAAUGCAAACCUUGCCAAAAGUUCGUUCUCCUACGAGAACCGCUUUACAGUUGUCGUGGAGUGCCGAGGCAACCUGAAAUGAACACCUCGUAUUACUUAAAGGUAGAAGCAAAACCAAAUAUUUUGGAUUAGUUUGUCUCCUUAGUCCUUUUCCAUGAAAAGUUUACUUACAAUCUCACUUGCACUUGCAGUGUUGCUGUUAACCAACACCUGCAAUUCGUCAGACUUUGAGCAUUAGGUUAAACUGUGACCCGGAAAAGGAGUAAAUAGAACCAGUAGAUAAGAAGGACUUGCAUACAAUCACAGG
rnacentral:lncRNA from 1 species